GAACUUCUCUUCUACGUUUCAGAGAGAGAGAAAGAGAGAGAGAGAGAGAGUCGGCAAGGGAGAGAGAAGGCUGGGGAAAUUGAAAACCCUAACUUGGUUCGGAGGCGACAACGAGUACCGCAGCUCCACGUAGGAAGUGACUGCGUUGGUUUUCUUUUUGUUGGAGACCGAGUUUUGCAGGUAUAGGUCGGUGUCCACUACAGGUCGCGUUUUGCGUUUUGUGACUCGCUCGAGGAGCGCGCGGUUGAGGCCUGUGGGGAGUCUUGUCUCCUGGCCCGUAGAUGAUAUUUGCCUAGUUUAGUUUUUUGGAUAAUUGUUGGUUAUGUAAAGUUUAUUUUAUUUGACAGACUUCCGCUGUAGUUUGUAAAUGACAAUUAUUUUGAGAUGUAAAUAAAAUGUGGCUGUUGACCUUCA